GCCUACUUGGAUAGCAUGGGAACUCCAUCUUUUGGGCAUCAUUUUCGUGGUAAUGACAGAGGUUGUACUGGUACAGUUAUUGAUCUCCUCGUCUAGUGAUUCAGAUGCUUGGGGCCUUUGUGUUCUUUACUUCAUUGUCCAUUUCAGCACAGAAGCAAACAUUACAAGGAGUUCUGUGAACUUAUGAUUCGUAUGAUAACUUAAGACUCCAUCUGCUCAACUCUACAGACGUACAGUACAGAGAGCUUCACUGGCCUUGCACGCUGCUGAGAGUGAAUGGGAAUUCAACUCAAGGCAUGCUGGUUAAAUGAAAGCGUAUAAUGGACAAGGUGGAUGACAAGUUAAAUGGCCUGGAAGGUAAAAGCUGGAAUGUUUGGA